UAAUAAUACCUAAACAAUCGCCCCCUAAAUAUUUAGUUGUUCCAUUGAUUGGGCAAGAGCACACUAGAUCAAGCCCCAAGUGUGAAUCAGGCAUCACCAGUGUAGAGCUAACUGAUGACGGUAGCGGAUCAUGUUCUUCUGUGAGUAGAAUUCACCUUCUGCAGUAAAACCAGUAACACCUGAUGUUGUAAAUUGGCAUGCCCUGAAUCCUGCUGCUCCUACCAUCAACGAAGGAUUAUGCAUGGUCUUGGUAUAGUGAUUUCUCGACUCAUUUGAAUGGUUAGCAAUCAAGACUUGUGAGCUUGACAUGCCAAACAUUGCCUAAUUCCUCCAAAUCCUUCGCACUUGUCCAAAAUAAAGAGAGAGAAAGAAUGGCUAGUGUAUUUAAACAUUGGGAUUAUUACAGGUUACAU
rnacentral:lncRNA from 1 species